AAAACGACUCUCGGCAACGGAUAUCUCGGCUCGCGCAUCGAUGAAGAACGUAGCGAAAUGCGAUACUUGGUGUGAAUUGCAGAAUCCCGUGAACCAUCGAGUCUUUGAACGCAAGUUGCGCCCGACGCCUUCUGGCCGAGGGCACGUCUGCCUGGGCGUCACGC
rnacentral:rRNA from 1 species